GCUUUUGAAAGGCGGCGGGAGGCGGCGAGCGCCAUGGCUAGCCCGGGCCGCCUGCUGUGCGUGCUGGGCCUGCUACUCUGCGGGGCGGCGAGCCUCGAGCUGUCUAGACCCCAAGGCGACACCGCCAAGAAGCCCAUCAUCGGAAUAUUAAUGCAAAAAUGCCGUAAUAAAGUCAUGAAAAACUAUGGAAGAUACUAUAUUGCUGCAUCCUAUGUAAAGUAUUUGGAGUCUGCAGGUGCAAGAGUUGUACCAGUAAGGCUGGAUCUUCCAGAGAAAGACUAUGAAAUACUUUUCAAAUCUAUUAAUGGAAUCCUUUUCCCUGGAGGAAGUGUUGACCUCAGACGCUCAGAUUAUGCUAAAGUGGCCAAAAUAUUUUAUAACUUGUCCAUACAGAGUUUUGAUGAUGGAGACUAUUUUCCUGUGUGGGGCACAUGCCUUGGAUUUGAAGAGCUUUCACUACUGAUUAGUGGAGAGUGCUUAUUAACUGCCACAGAUACUGUUGACGUGGCAAUGCCGCUGAACUUCACUGGAGGUCAAUUGCACAGCAGAAUGUUCCAGAAUUUUCCUACUGAGUUGUUGCUGUCAUUAGCAGUAGAACCUCUGACUGCCAAUUUCCAUAAGUGGAGCCUCUCCAUGAAGGUAUACUAAUUACACAAUGAAAUUAAUAUGUUUAGAAUAACUGCAGAAGUAAUCAUUUUGUUUUAUUUUCAUAUUCUAGAAUUUUACGAUGAAUGAAAAGUUAAAGAAGUUUUUCAAUGUCUUAACUACAAAUACAGAUGGCGAGAUCGAGUUUAUUUCAACAAUGGAAGGAUAUAAGUAUCCAAUAUAUGGUGUCCAGUGGCAUCCAGAGAAAGCACCUUAUGAGUGGAAGAAUUUGGAUGGCAUUUCCCAUGCACCUAAUGCUGUGAAAACUGCAUUUUAUUUAGCAGAGUUUUUUGUUAAUGAAGGUAAUAUGAGGGUACAUAAUUUUGUUAUUCUGGGGUAGUUUUGAAGAAAAUUGCCUUCAUCUGAACUUUUGCCUACCCUUUUGCUCUAUAAAUGUUUUGUAAGUUCUAUAGGUUUAACUUUAAAGAAUAAUACAAAUGUUAAAUAAUGUGAAAGCCCUA
rnacentral:sRNA from 1 species